GUUCCAUGUGAACAGCAGUUGGACAUGGGUCAGUCGAUCCUAAGAAAACGGCGAAAGCUUGUUCGAAUUUACGACAUAAAAUGUAAAACUGUGUGUAGUGUGCUUGUGUGUGUGUGUGUGUGUACUAUACUGAUAUAGCAGUAGUGGUGGUGGUGGUAGUUUGUCAGCAGUAGUGUUUGUCUGUGGCAGUGCUGCUGCUGCUGCUGCUAUUGUUGUGCGGGUGCUUUUUACUUGCUGUUGUUGUGUGUUGUUGUACACACACACCCACACAAUUCUGUGUGCAGUUGUCGUAUGUUUUCG
rnacentral:rRNA from 1 species